CCCUGGCUGUCCACUUCUGGAGGCCUGGUAAUCAGAGUGGCGUCCUGAGUGUCCAGUGAGCACAUUUCCUCACCACAGCCCCAACUGGAGUGCGGCUCUGCUGCCCUCAACUGCAUCUGUGCCUGGAGAACAGAGGCACUGUUUCACCCCUUCUAGAAAAAACCUCCAGCCUUUCCCUGGAUGGGGAAGGAGAGUCAUACAGCCGCCUGAAGCUGGGGAGCUGAAGAGGGGACCUGAAGCCACAGUUUCUUCUCACACAGAGCUACAGCCAGUCCUGCAGGUGUCAGCUGCCUCUUUAUACCUACUCCUAUGGCACUUGCUGCUGCCAGGACCUGAGCCUUGGGGAAUUCGACUGCAAGAUCAUCCUGGCUCUCACUUGACCCCACGACUGCUUUGGGUUGAGUUUCGCAGAUUAGUGAAGUCUCAGGAGGGAGUGAAAAUAGCUGUCUGUGUUCAACCUGCCAUCUUUACCUGGAGGCCUGCCACCUGGAUCCCGUACAGGAAACGGCGGCCCCAUGAGCAGCAGCGUCUUUGGAGAAGAGAGAGCCCGUUCAGGAGGCGGAGGAAGCCAUGUAAGAACAGAGGCAAGGUUAACAAGAAGCUCCAGCAUUACCCCAGGGCGAUCCUCAUGCCUUAAUAUGGAGACUGACUCAGUGGGAAAGUGCUGCAGUUCUCUGAAAUGCUAUUUUUAAAAUGAUCAUUCAAGGGAAAACGGACAUGACCAAGUCAGACUCCCUCCCCGCACCAAAUAAACAAAGGAAAACUCAGGACAAUCAGAAAUGUGACUUAUGGAUAUUUUAAAAUAGAAAUUGGGUAGAAAAUAUUAAAAGGGGAGAGAGAAAAAUAUGUUGAAGGCCUCGGAAAGCCAGUGAGAACCGGGCUGUAGGGAUGAGGCAUCAGGGGAGGACGGGGGAGAACUACGGAGCCACGGAGGGAGGGGAGGAGAGGAAUGUGCUCCACAGGAUGACAGCUGCGGCUCUCACCCGCCUGUUCUCAGGCAUUAAUGAGCUUAUCCGGUAUAUCAAAUGGUUUAGCUUAACCGAAAAUAUAUCCCCGAGUAGAAUCUCUGGUAGCAUUACUUUGUAGAUAUGUUACUUCCCUGGCAAUGAUUUGCACACAUGUACACACGCACGUACACACCAAUAUCUAUUUGUGUUGUCUCUGUGGACGAGGCUCACAAGAAGCAGAACACGUGAUGUACUCAUCCCUGGGCGGGGUUUAGUUAGUGGCUUGGGAGGAGAGAA